CUCAAUGAAAUAUUUAAAUAGCCGCAAUUUUUAUUGUGCUAAGGUAGCAUAAUCAUUUGCCUUUUAAUUAAAGGCUAGAAUGAAGGAUUUAACAUUUCAAUCCCUUUAUUAAUUAUAUCUUCUUAAUUUAUUCUAAAUAUAAAAAAAUAUUUAUAACCUAAAAAGACGACAAGACCCUAUUGAACUUAACUUCAGUUAAACUGGGGCAGUUAAUCAAUUAGUACUUUAAUCUCACCAUAUCUUUAAAAGAUCUCUCACAGAGAUUCAAAUGACCAAGUUACCAUAGGGAUAACAGCGUAAUAAAUUUCUCAAGAUCUCAUUUAAAAUUAAGCUUACGACCUCGAUGUUGAAUUAAUAACCUAAUACAAUGAAAAAAUUUAUUAAGGAAGUCUGUUCGACUU
rnacentral:rRNA from 1 species